rnacentral:rRNA from 1 species
ACACUCCUGCGGGAGGCAGCAGUGGGGAAUUUUGGACAAUGGGCGAAAGCCUGAUCCAGCAAUGCCGCGUGCAGGAUGAAGGCCUUCGGGUUGUAAACUGCUUUUGUACGGAACGAAAAAGCUCCUUCUAAUACAUGGGGCCCAUGACGGUACCGUAAGAAUAAGCACCGGCUAACUACGUGCCAGCAGCCGCGGUAAUACGUAGGGUGCGAGCGUUAAUCGGAAUUACUGGGCGUAAAGCGUGCGCAGGCGGUUAUGUAAGACAGAUGUGAAAUCCCCGGGCUCAACCUGGGAACUGCAUUUGUGACUGCAUGGCUAGAGUACGGUAGAGGGGGAUGGAAUUCCGCGUGUAGCAGUGAAAUGCGUAGAUAUGCGGAGGAACACCGAUGGCGAAGGCAAUCCCCUGGACCUGUACUGACGCUCAUGCACGAAAGCGUGGGGAGCAAACAGGAUUAGAUACCCCAGUAGUCCCAU